rnacentral:piRNA from 1 species
UCAUAGAGCUCCCUGGACACUGAACCUCG